rnacentral:sRNA from 1 species
CUGCCUCUCUCUCUUAUCUCCCAACAAAGCUCCGAGAAGCACGGACUGAAGCCAGCGAUGUUAAACAAUGACGCAUGGCUGAUUUUAUUUAUCUAGAAUUCUCAUCUCAGUCUAAGGACACAAGGAACUGACACUUCAAGUAAGAACUGGUGAUAUGGUAUCGAGGACUUUCAACAAAGGAAAGAAAACAUAACUUAUUGGGAGGAGAAGGCCAGGAAUUCUAUUCUGCAAGGGCAGCAGAGCCUCUGAGCAGGGUAAGCGAUGAGCAUUAGAAAAUAGAAAUGGGGACGGAGGGAGGGUGUAGCGAAUGGUGUACAGUGUAACUGCAAAAAAAAAAAAUGAAAAGAAAGAAAGAAACCAUUGCCUUCUAAUUAAAGCUGCAGUCUGGAACACACAACAUUCAAAUGUGUAAUCAAAAACCAGUCACCAAUAAAACUUACAAGCGUAACACGCUGAAGCAACUUUCCAGCUGUCUUAAUAGGACCCCUGCGUGUGGCAGCCUUUCACAGGGCAGAAAGCAAAUCUUCCCCUUUGUGUGAGGCUUCUGUUUCCUCUGAAGGUGAAUCAUGCACUUCCAAUAACAGGAACCGUCAGAAUGAUCUGACAAUGAAUGGAGGCGCUGCACACAGAACUUUAGGAAUUAGCACUGGGGGAAGCCAGCAUGAUGUCUCAUUUUCCCUUCCUCAUUAUCGAUGCAAAAGUUAAAGGAUGUGUUUUGAUUAUUUUGAAAAUCGUGCAAUUUCUUCAUGAACACAAAACCCAGAAAAUGUAGAUUUCCCUUGGAUUUUUAUCUUGGGCCGCAAAGAAGAAACAUGAUUCUGUAUGUCACUAACAUCCUAUGUAUCUUAAAACAAUCUUCUCAAGAGGAAUUAGGAAUGAUUAUGCCCUUCCAAGUAGUUUCUCUAGAGUUUGUUUUAAAACUGGAGACACUUCUCUAUUUUGUUUUGGCAAAGUCUUGACACUGGUUUUGAGAUGCAGGUUCUCUCUCCCCACUCUUUUAUAUCUUCAGGGAUGGAGUCACACCACAAGGGGACCUGAGGCACUCUGGAGCAGUGCUGAUUCACCUGGGAGCCACGUGUGACCAUCACAAUUUAAACAUCCAUUAGCUGAGGUGCAAAAGGAACAGCUAUGCUUCUCUGCCCUGACCUGCAUAUUUCAAACAUUCAAUAGUUACCAAAUCAAACUGCAGAUACAGGAUCUGGUACAGGUACAAAAGUAAGAAGUAAUAUUGGGAUCUGCUUCCAGCUACAAUUUCCCUUAGAAACUUAGAAAAACUGGAGAAUAUGCAUUGGAAGCUUUCAAAAGUGGCCCUCUGAAGAUGAUAAGAUUUUUUUCUAUGGAUGGUCACAACAGCCCCAGGCCUGGACAGCGUGAUCUAGAGCUGGCUCCUGGACUGCAGGCUGAACUCCUGGUGACUUGCCUUAAUGAACAGGCUGCCAAACUUCCUCAGCGAGAGGCGCCUGCUCAGGCCCAAUUCUAGAGGGACCCACUAAUGCCAUUCACGUCUCAUUAUGAGCAUGCUCAUUCUGCACAGCACUUGGCUGUCACCACACAGCGGCCCUCCCUGUAUGGCCCCAGCAAGCCGCUGGUCCGGGGAACAGCAGGAUGUUAGGCCUGAGUGGCCGUCUGGCGAACAGGCCCUCUGACACUAAGCUGGCACGUGCUGGCCCAGCAGGGGCUGAGCCAGGCGUGACAAAUUACUCAAAGAGCUGAGCUAAACUUAUGGUUGACAACCACCUGAGCCUUCAGACUGCUGUGGCCCACUGUCAACGCUCAAUUCAUGGCUCCCCCCCUUUCAGUACAGUCUGCUUGUGGGCCUGGGUUAGAGCAAGCAUGGCCCUCUAAAGACUUGUCACACUCUGUCUAGUAUUGUCCUGCUGUUUCCUGAAAGGUCCCACUGUGUCUAACACAUCCCCAUACAGAGCUGGGGACAAUGGUGAUGAACACAGAAAUGUGUGAGCCCUUUGCUAGAGUCUCCAUGGAAGACUUCUCUGGAAAGUAGUCUUCUUAAUCAAACAAUCAAACCUACAGAAGGACUGGUGCACAUAGAUCUCAGGUGGCUGUCCAUCAUCCUCAUCUUGGAUGACACCAUCCAACUGUCAAGGGGCUGGCCCCUGUCAUGACUGAGAGGUCCGGACUCUUAGGAGGCAGUCCAGCACUGCGAUCACAGGAAGCAGGCAUUAAGUUUUGGGAUUCUCCCAGUGUGAAUAUUUAUGGUCUGACUCUUGUAUCUAUAGACAACAGAGAGAAUCAAAACUGCUUCCAGAAUUGGAUACCAAAGGAGGAAAUGAUCCUUCAUAGGAUUGCCACUCAAGCCCUAGACUGUUACACAUCACACCCAUUCUCUGCUGGCCUCUAGCAGUGGUAACUAGCAUUAAACUUGUGCUGUCGUUGAGACAAAUAUCCAUGGUGGGUUGGGUAAGACGAAGAGACAUCAAAUGCCACUUACUUGGGUCCAAGCCAGUGCAUGUUAAAUACCAUGACAAAGAGAAAGCAAGUAUCAUCCUAGCUUGAACAGUGCUUUGAGCAGAUGGGAACACAUGAAUGCCCCAAGUCAUUUGUUUAGUAAGCUUAGCAAAAAUAUAAUCCUGGUUUAAUUUUUGAGACCAAAAACUUGCUGUUUUGGCUAGAGUGGCUGGUCAGUGAGCCCUCGGGUCUGCCAGUCUCUGUGCUCCCCACACACUGGGAUUACAAACUCAUGCUUCUGAGUCCAGCUUUUAGGUGGGCACUGGGGAUCCGAACUGAGGUCCUCGUGUUUGUACAAUAAAUACUUUACCCCAAGGAUCUUAACUAAAUGUAACAACUCUGAGCAAAGGUGAAUUGGAGCAAUGUUGUCUGACACUUAUUAUCCACAGAGCUUCAAAGAAAGGAAAAACAGAUAUAUCAGUCCACAUCAAAAUGAUUUGUCUUUGGUCAGUCACCCUCCUCAGGCAUAUGCAGAUGGCUGACGAGGCACUAAGCUAUAAGUCUUACACCCAUUCUAACACUAGAUAAUACUCUUUCCUCUCCUGAAAGUACCCUACAAACAUAAAACUUUUAAUUCUAUUCUGAAUGACUACCUCAUUAAUAUGAUACAAAUCCUUUCAAAGGAGCAGUUUGUUCCUUGAUCACUCACCUCAGAGGACUUUCAAAUUACUAAGCAGAAACCCAUCUUGUAUUUGUCAUUCCUUACCCUCUCAGUGCAGUCUUAGUGAGUAGCCCAGCUUGGCCUGAAUAAACCAUGCUCCUGCCUCUACUUGACAUCUGCUUGGGACUACAGAUAGGAGCUGCUAUGCCUGGCUGGAUUCGAGCUUCCUUAGCAAACUACUCCUACAUUUUU